rnacentral:rRNA from 1 species
UACGUAGGUGGCGAGCGUUAUCCGGAAUGAUUGGGCGUAAAGGGUGCGCAGGCGGUCCUGCAAGUCUGGAGUGAAACGUAUGAGCUCAACUCAUGCAUGGCUCUGGAAACUGGAGGACUGGAGAGCAGGAGAGGGCGGUGGAACUCCAUGUGUAGCGGUAAAAUGCGUAGAUAUCACACAGAACACCGAUUGCGAAGGCAUCUCACGAAUCCGCGAUUGACGCUGAUGCACGAAAGCGUGGGUAUCAAACAGG